UGUCUGGUGCCAGCAGCCGCGGUAAUUCCAGCUCCAAUAGCGUAUAUUAAAGUUGUUGCGGUUAAAAAGCUCGUAGUUGGAUCUCGGUUUCACUCAGGUGGUACACCUUGCGGUGUUCACUAUCUGGGUGGACGUUUCUGUUGGUUCGCUCUUGGUGCUCUUCAUCGGGUGCCAUUUGGUGGCCAGCACGUUUACUUUGAAAAAAUUGGAGUGCUCAAGGCAGGCGUUACAGCCUGAACAUUAGUGCAUGGAAUAAUGGAAUAGGAUCUCGAUUCUAUUUCGUUGGCUUUCGGAGUCGAGGUAAUGAUUAAUAGUACAGACGGGGGCAUUCGUACUGCGACGUUAGAGGUGAAAUUCUUGGAUCGUCGCAAGACGAACUACUGCGAAAGCAUUUGCCAAGAAUGUUUUCAUUAAUCAAGAACGAAAGUUAGAGGUUCGAAGGCGAUCAGAUACCGCCCUAGUUCUAACCAUAAACGAUGCCAACCGGCGAUCCGUCGUCGUUAAUUGAAUGACUCGACGGGCAGCCUCCGGGAAACCAGAGUGUUUGGGUUCCGGGGGAAGUAUGGUUGCAAAGCUGAAACUUAAAGGAAUUGACGGAAGGGCACCACCAGGAGUGGAGCCUGCGGCUUAAUUUGACUCAACACGGGAAAUCUCACCAGGCCCGGACACCGGAAGGAUUGACAGAUUGAGAGCUCUUUCUUGAUUCGGUGGGUGGUGGUGCAUGGCCGUUCUUAGUUGGUGGAGCGAUUUGUCUGGUUAAUUCCGAUAACGAACGAGACUCUGGCCUACUAACUAGAAGGUCUAUCCUUUAUGGGUAGGCCUCUGCUUCUUAGAGGGACGGGCGGCGUUUAGCCGCACGAGAAUGAGCAAUAACAGGUCUGUGAUGCCCUUAGAUGUUCUGGGCUGCACGCGCGCUACACUGAAGGAAUCAGCAUGUUCUCCCCUCCCUGAAAAGGGCGGGUAACCCGUUGAAACUCCUUCGUGAUGGGGAUUGGAGAUUGUAAUUAUUCUCCAUGAACGAGGAAUUCCCAGUAGGCGCGAGUCAUCAGCUUGCGUCGAUUACGUCCCUGCCCUUUGUACACACCGCCCGUCGCUACUACCGAUCGAGUGAUUUAGUGAGGACUUCGGACUGGUCUUCAAGUUGGCUUCGGUCGGCUCGAAGUUCCGGAAAGAUGCCCAAUCUUGAUCACUUAGAGGAAGUAAAAGUCGUAACAAGGUUUCCGUAGGUGAACCUGCGGAAG
rnacentral:rRNA from 1 species